rnacentral:rRNA from 1 species
AGCGAACGCUGGCGGCAGGCUUAACACAUGCAAGUCGAGCGGGCAUCUUCGGAUGUCAGCGGCAGACGGGUGAGUAACACGUGGGAACGUACCCUUCGGUUCGGAACAACUCUGGGAAACUGGAGCUAAUACCGGAUACGCCCUUAUGGGGAAAGGUUUACUGCCGAAGGAUCGGCCCGCGUCUGAUUAGCUAGUUGGUGGGGUAACGGCCUACCAAGGCGACGAUCAGUAGCUGGUCUGAGAGGAUGAUUAGCCACACUGGGACUGAGACACGGCCCAGACUCCUACGGGAGGCAGCAGUGGGGAAUAUUAGACAAUGGGCGCAAGCCUGAUCCAGCCAUGCCGCGUGAGUGAUGAAGGCCUUAGGGUUGUAAAGCUCUUUUGUCCGGGACGAUAAUGACGGUACCGGAAGAAUAAGCCCCGGCUAACUUCGUG